GCCACCACAACCUCCGGCAACUACCCUCAGCCACAAUCACUCCCGGUCACAACCACCUCCGGCCAUCACCUUCAACCACCACCACGUCCGGCCACUGAUAGUUGGUUUUUCGUCAAUUAAUCCUAAAAAACAAUCCUGUCGUUGUAGUAUUUUAGGUGUCAAUCCAAAUGGGUGUGAUGCAGACAUAUGAGAUAUGAUCAGAAGUUAGUAAGUCAAGCCAAGCAGAAUUUGGUUGGUUUCCUAACAGUCCUAGUGUUGAUGCAGAAAACAGUAAAAAGUCACAAAAAUGACUGAUAUACUCGAUCGCAGGGUCGACUGCCAGAAGGACCCUGUGAUCGAAUACAUAGGAUGACAGAUAGUGAAAAUGCAGAAAUGGACCAGUUUACUAUAUCACACAGUCACACAGUCACACAGUCACACAGUGAUCGAGUAGAAUGGUUGAAAACAGGAAAAUACUAAAAUUCAAUAGCAAGUGAAUGAAGCAGGUAAGUAAAAAAAGAAAUAAAUUGGAUGAGAAAUUCUUAAGGAUGGGGUAAUCGAAUAGUGUGGUCUCCCUAAUCAAUUCAGUUGGUUAUCAAAUC
rnacentral:sRNA from 1 species